UCUUAGUUUCCACCAAAUCUCCGCCACAAUCGGAACGUUCUGCACCAUUUCUGCUCCGCAAUGGGUGCUCCUUUGUCCAGUGCAUCUCACACAGGCAGGUUUCAUUUCGACCCCCGUCCGAAGCUGACCAGGUGUAGGCUUGUGACAUGAGAGUGUAGGGUUUUUUUUUAUGGCGCAGGGGGUUCGAAAGCGCAGGAUGUGCGGGCGGGGGUGAUUCUGCGGGAAAUUCGUGUCUCAGCUCUGUCGCUGCUGUUCAGAAGUGGGAUGAGCCGCUCCCGUAUCCACCACCCAUCCAUCCCCCAAAUGCGAGAAAGCUCCACAAUGUCGCUCAAUGGUUAUAUGGGAGAACGUGUUAGAAAAUUGAAACUUUCAUAUUUCUUAUUUUCCUCUCGUCUUCCAUGGAAUUCAAAUUAAGUCAGUUUCCACUUUUGGCUCUCAUGGCGCCUUUUCUCUCGCAUUUCUCUCCAUUUCUCCGGAAGAUGCCGGAGCGCCAUGUUUGGCGCACACAAAAGCGGGUGAAAUUUCUUUCUCCGUACCACCCACCGUACUGUGUGGGUAUGGUAUGGGGUCCAAGCAUACCAUAGGAUAUAGAGGCGAGCACAAGGAACGGAGGCAGAUGACAUGGGGUAUAGCAUGAAAACGAUGUAUACGGAAACUUAUUUUAUCAAGUCGAUUGCUUCAGUUAUCCACGAAUUACAUGUCUCCAGCCAGAGUGUAUAUGCGGAAAGGAUUUGUGUUUUGUAUCGCACACAUACACAUAUUUUCCAUCCCCACUCCCAAAGCCCUUGUUCCAUUCUUCCCAAGCUGAUUUAUGCUCCUUCUUAUCCCUCUCUCUGUUUUCCUUCAUCAUUUGUACCACAUAAUCAACUACUUGAGUCCUUGUCAAUUUUCAUUUUCAGGAAGCCAAUGAGACACUCUCCACGCUUUUAUUGCAGAUUUUCUUUUGCCACACACACACAGCUUCAUUCAACGGGGAAAAAUUCACCCCAUUUGUGGUAUAAAGAGCAUUUUGUUGCGGGAGCAUCAACGUGAAAUAAUCACCAGUGUUUAUGGAAACAAUCUUCCCACGAAUACUUUUCAUGAUAAAUUGAUGGUGUUUUAUUGGAAAUUUAUUCUCAUUGAGCUUUCUCGUACAGAAAAUUACUCAAGAGUUUUUCUUAUCCAUCAAGGGGUUAAUAAAUAAUCUUUUAAUCCUUAUGAUGAUUUUUUCUUUAUUUUAUUUUAAAUGUAACAAGUUUAUUUAUUUCUUGUUGGCUUAUAGAAUAUUUUUUCUCUAAAAUAUUUCUUUAAAUUUUUUUCUUCCAAAGUGUUGAAAUGCAACCCAAAAGAAAAUUUCUAAUCAUAUACUUAUAAAUUCAAUGGGAAACAUUUUCAAAAAUUGCUCCACAUAGAAGAUUAAGCUCUCUAAUUAAUAUGUUUUAACUCCAAAAAAUGAUUCUCAUAAAUACUGAUAUUCUAGGAGUUCUAGGCUAGGUAUUGUAGAGCUUUUUCAGAGCUUUUUUUCCAUAAUAAAAGAUCUACAAAAAUUGGAUAAAUAAAA